rnacentral:misc_RNA from 1 species
GAUGAAGAACGUAGCGAAAUGCGAUAAGUAAUGUGAAUUGCAGAAUUCAGUGAAUCAUCGAAUCUUUGAACGCACAUUGCGCCCGACAGUAUUCUGGCGGGCAUGCCUGUUCGAGCGUCAUUACGCCCCUCAAGUCCCCUGUGGACUUGGUGUUGGGGAUCGGCGAGGCUGGUUUUCCAGCACAGCCGUCCCUUAAAUUAAUUGGCGGUCUCGCCGUGGCCCUCCUCUGCGCAGUAGUAAAACACUCGCAACAGGAGCCCGGCGCGGUCCACUGCCGUAAAACCCCCCAACUUUUUAUAGUUGACCUCGAAUCAGGUAGGACUACCCGCUGAACUUAAGCAUAUCAAUAAGCGGAGGA